rnacentral:lncRNA from 1 species
CCUUAAACAAAUAAGUUAAUAAAGAAAUUAGAAAUACAAUUGCGAGAUCAAGUGAUUUAGUUAGUCAUCGUGGUUUUAGAUGGCAUUUCCCAGUACAAAGUCUUGUGUAAUACCCAUAUCCUUUUACACCAAAACGAAGCGGGAAAUAUAACUGCUUUAACCCAACUGACAUAAUUAUUUAGAUGGCGAAAGAAGCGGGAAAUAUAACUGUAAGCUAUACAUAACAUGCUGAUUAUGCAUUUCUCACGGAUAUUUGAUACAGAGAAGGUCGUUGUUUUAUCAUCACACCUACAUUCCAUCCUCUAGUUUCCGCCGUAAUUUAUAAUUAAUCUGACAGUGCUCGACAUCAUUUUAAAGUCACUGCUACACCGAC